rnacentral:rRNA from 1 species
UACGUAGGGGGGCAAGCGUUGUCCGGAUUUAUUGGGCGUAAAGAGCGUGUAGGCGGCCCGACAGGUCCGUUGUGAAAACUCGAGGCUCAACCUCGAGACGUCGAUGGAAACCGUCGGGCUAGAGUCCGGAAGAGGAGAGUGGAAUUCCUGGUGUAGCGGUGAAAUGCGCAGAUAUCAGGAGGAACACCCGUGGCGAAAGCGGCUCUCUGGGACGGUACUGACGCUGAGACGCGAAAGCGUGGGGAGCGAACGGG